GUGAACGCUGGCGGUAGGCCUAACACAUGCAAGUCGAACGGCAGCACAGUAAGAGCUUGCUCUUACGGGUGGCGAGUGGCGGACGGGUGAGGAAUACAUCGGAAUCUACUUUUUCGUGGGGGAUAACGUAGGGAAACUUACGCUAAUACCGCAUACGACCUACGGGUGAAAGCAGGGGAUCUUCGGACCUUGCGCGAUUGAAUGAGCCGAUGUCGGAUUAGCUAGUUGGCGGGGUAAAGGCCCACCAAGGCGACGAUCCGUAGCUGGUCUGAGUGGAUGAUCAGCCACACUGGAACUGAGACACGGUCCAGACUCCUACGGGAGGCAGCAGUGGGGAAUAUUGGACAAAGGGCGCAAGCCUGAUCCAGCCAUACCGCGUGGGUGAAGAAGGCCUUCGGGUUGUAAAGCCCUUUUGUUGGGAAAGAAAAGCAGCAGGUUAAUACCCCGCUGUUCUGACGGUACCCAAAGAAUAAGCACCGGCUAACUUCGUG
rnacentral:rRNA from 1 species